GACGAACGCUGGCGGCGUGCCUAAUACAUGCAAGUUGAGCGAUGAAGAUUGGUGCUUGCACCAAUUUGAAGAGCAGCGAACGGGUGAGUAACGCGUGGGUAAUCUGCCUUUGAGCGGGGGACAACAUUUGGAAACGAAUGCUAAUACCGCAUAACAACUUUAAACAUAAGUUUUAAGUUUGAAAGAUGCAAUUGCAUCACUCAAAGAUGAUCCCGCGUUGUAUUAGCUAGGUGGUGAGGUAAAGGCUCACCAAGGCGAUGAUACAUAGCCGACCUGAGAGGGUGAUCGGCCCAAUUGGGACUGAGACACGGCCCAAACUCCUACGGGAGGCAGCAGUAGGGAAUCUUCGGCAAUGGACGAAAGUCUGACCGAGCAACGCCGCGUGAGUGAAGAAGGUUUUCGGAUCGUAAAACUCUGUUGGUAGAGAAGAACGUUGGUGAGAGUGGAAAGCUCAUCAAGUGACGGUAACUACCCAGAAAGGGACGGCUAACUACGUG
rnacentral:rRNA from 1 species